CCGUUCGGAGAUGUUGUCCACGCACUCAGGGACUCCCUCGAGGCGUUGCUCCCGGCGUUCUACCGCUUCGCCGGUGCGCUGGUCUACUCGCCGGAGGAGGAGGAGGAGGAGGAGGGGUCACUGUCCAUCGUCGUGGAGGCCGGCGGCGGCGUGGCAUUAGUGGAGGCCGAGGCAUUCGUGGCAUCGGUGGUGCGCUCGCCGCGGGGGAUGAUGGCGGUGGGGCUAGGGCUGCGCUUUGCCAUGCAGCAGCAGCCGAUGGUCUUCGCAUCGCCUCCGCUGCCGCCGCCGCAGAUUUGGCUUCAGCGGGUCCAGGACUGGAGCGGUGCUAGUGCCACGGAGAGAUGGGGAUGGUGGCACCCCGGCGAGAACGUUGCCGCCCCGGCGGCCACCGAGCCUCCUGCUCCUGCCGCCAACUUCCCGAGUCUCUGUGAGGUCGCCGCGGGCGCGGCCGGCGGC
rnacentral:lncRNA from 1 species